CUACCCUCCCUAGCAACCGGCCAAUUUGGUUACCCCAUGUGACUCUACCCUCCCUAGCAACCGGCCCAAUUUGGUUACCCCAUGUGACUCUACCCUCCCUAGCAACCGGCCAAUUUGGUUACCCCAUGUGACUCUACCCUCCCUAGCAACCGGGAUAAUUUGGUUGCUAAGGAGACCUGACUGGAGUCUAAUACCCCACGAGGAGGUUACCCCAUGUGACUCUACCCUCCCUAGCAACCGGCCCAAUUUGGUUACCCCAUGUGACUCUACCCUCCCUAGCAACCGGCCCAAUUUGGUUACCCCAUGUGACUCUACCCUCCCUAGCAACCGGCCCAAUUUGGUUACCCCAUGUGACUCUACCCUCCCUAGCAACCGGCCCAAUUUGGUUACCCCAUGUGACUCUACCCUCCCUAGCAACCGGCCCAAUUUGGUUACCCCAUGUGACUCUACCCUCCCUAGCAACCGGCCCAAUUUGGUUACCCCAUGUGACUCUACCCUCCCUAGCAACCGGCCCAAUUUGGUUACCCCAUGUGACUCUACCCUCCCUAGCAACCGGCCCAAUUUGGUUACCCCAUGUGACUCUACCCUCCCUAGCAACCGGCCAAUUUGGUUACCCCAUGUGACUCUAC